AUCUUGUACUCUCUAAUCAGGAUCCUGAGUACGGCCCAGCACGUGAAAUUGGGUCGGAAUCUGGGAGGACCAUCUCCCAAGGCUAAAUACUAACUAGUGACCGAUAGCGAACAAGUACCGUGAGGGAAAGGUGAAAAGAACCCCGGAAGGGGAGUGAAAUAGUUCUUGAAACCGUGUGCUUACAAGAAGUUCGAGGCCGUUAAUGGCUGAGAGCGUGCUUUUUGUAGAAUGAACCGGAGAGUUACGAUUGCGUGCAAGGUUAAGGUGCAAAGACUGGAGCCGUAGCGAAAGCGAGUCUUAAUAGGGCGAAUCAGUACGUAGUUGUAGACCCGAAACCGAGUGACCUAUCCAUGGUCAGGUUGAAGGUGGGGUAAUACCUACUGGAGGACCGAACAAGUGGGUGUUAAAAAACCCUUUGAUGAACUGUGGAUAGCGGUGAAAUUCCAAUCGAACUCGGAGAUAGCUGGUUCUAUCCGAAAUACAUUUAGGUGUAGCCUUGCAAUUAGCUUACUGGAGGUAGAGCACUAUUUGGUCUAGGGGCCCUUCAAGGGUUACCAAAAUCAGAUAAACUCCGAAUGCCAGCUAAGUAUGUGCAGGAGUCAGACGGUGAGUGAUAAGAUCCAUCGUCAAAAGGGGAACAGCCCAGAUCACCAGUUAAGGUCCCUAAAUAUAUGCUAAGUGGAAAACGUUGUGAAGGUGCAUAGACAACUAGGAGGUUGGCUCAGAAGCAGCCACCCUUUAAAGAGUGCGUAAUAGCUCACUAGUCAAGUGCUCUUGCGCGGAUAAUGUACCGGGGCUAAGCAUAUUACCGAAACUGUGGAUGCGUAAGCAUGGUAGGAUAGCGUAAUUAACGCGAUGAAGGAUGACCGUAAGGACAUGUUGGAGCGUUAACUAGUGAGAAUUCCGGUAUGAGUAGCGAAAGAUAGGUGAGAAUCCUAUCCACCGAAUGAGUAAGGUUUCCCCCGGAAGGCUCGUCCGCGGGGGGUUAGUCGGGACCUAAGGCGAGGCUGAAAAGCGUAGUCGAUGGACAACAGGUUGAUAUUCCUGUACCGAUAUUUAAUUGCCGAAGGAAGGACGCAGAAGGAUAACACAGGCCACUAUUGGAUGUGGUUUUAAACAGUUAGUCUUCAUAAGAGUCAAAUGCUUUUAUGUUUAAGGAUAAGCUGUGAAUGUACCAAGUUUACUUGGAAAUUGUGUGAUUUCACGCUGCUGAAAAAAGUUUCGUAGGAAGAAAAUAUUGCCCGUACCGCAAACCGACACAGGUACUCAAGUGGAGAACACUAAGGUGAGCGAGUGAACUAUUGUUAAGGAACUC
rnacentral:rRNA from 1 species